rnacentral:tRNA from 2 species
GCGUCGGUGGUAUAACGGUUAGCAUAGCUGCCUUCCAAGCAGUUGACCCGGUUUCGACUCCCGGCCGACGCA